UGGGGAAUAUUGGACAAUGGGGGCAACCCUGAUCCAGCCAUGCCGCGUGAGUAAUGAAGGCCUUCGGGUUGUAAAGCUCUUUUGGCGGGGACGAUGAUGACGGUACCCGCAGAAUAAGCCCCGGCUAACUUCGUGCCAGCAGCCGCGGUAAGACGAAGGGGGCAAGCGUUGUUCGGAUUUACUGGGCGUAAAGGGCGCGUAGGCGGCGCGGUAAGUCACUUGUGAAAUCUCUGAGCUUAACUCAGAACGGUCAAGUGAUACUGCUGUGCUAGAGUGCGGAAGAGGCAACCGGAAUUCUUGGUGUAGCGGUGAAAUGCGUAGAUAUCAAGAGGAACACCCGAGGCGGAGGCGGGUUGCUGGGCCGACACUGACGCUGAUGCGCGAAAGCCAGGGGA
rnacentral:rRNA from 1 species